UGGCGGGAUCUGUGUCUCUCGCUGGUGCUGGCACAGGAGCUUGGGAUCUGUCUCCUCUUUCGCCUCCUGCACCUUGAGAGCCCUGGGCUACUCUGUCACAGCCCCUGUUGCCCUGCGAUCUGUAGGUCCUUGGGGACGCAUAGUUAAGGUGCCAGGACAUCCUGGAAGCUGGGAAAUGGUAACUUCUUAGACCAAGUCUAGAAACAGUCUGAGGACAAUAACAAUUCCAUUCUAAAAAGAAUCUCCCAACAUUUCUUCUAUCUCAACCUCAACUGCAUCUGCCUGUGAACUUCCAGCUUACCAAGGCUCUAUAUCUUCUGGCAGUGACAAAGGCUCCUUCCAUGGUUGGUGUGAGUAGGCUUGGACACCUGCAGGGCAGACACCCAGGAAUAAUCAACUGGGCCUUCAGUGGUCCUCUUUUGCAGGGUCAAGAUAUGUAUUCAUUUCCUACCACCGUAGUGGAAGAGAGAUUUUCCCUAUCUUUACAACUGAUAGCAUUUCCAACAGUAAGCUGUGAGAUUCUGCUUGAAAUCACCUCUCAAACAAAUAAAAAACAGACCUGGGAGACAUGCUACACUCAUUCUGCUGAGGAAAUAGGCAUCAUAGCUGGGAAACGGAUUCACAAGACCCAGGCUGUUCCCUACAUAUGUUUCCUCCUCCGACAUCAGUUCAUCAGUCAAUCAAGCCAUGUGAGAGUGGAGGCCUUGUAUUCCCUAUUAUUCUUGGGCACUCUACUCCAAGUAGGAAAAGGCCAGGAGGUCCUGUUAAAGGAUGCACUCAGAGCCCGGGCUCCCUAACAUAUGAGAGUGCUAACCAGCAGGUGUAGACUUUUCAGGAGUGAAGAAUGAGGCAGGCAUUCCAAACCUGGACCUUCAUCACCUUUUGUUUCAUCUCAAGACAAUUCUGAGGGACUGUUUUGGAGCGUGUCUGGAAGGUGAACCUUGAAGAAGAGUGUGGGCUUUGAUGUGACUCAGUUGAGAUCUUUCAUGGGGAGGCAGGAAUUCAAUGCCCAGAAUCUGGGCUGGUGUCUUUGAGGUCAGUAGGUUGCGUCUUUGUAUCCAAGUCCAUUGUUACUAGGUUGGAGGCUGGAGAUUCUAAAUGGCUUCCAGACCAUCUCUCUGAUUCUCUUUGGGAGAUGGGGUCUGAAAGACAAUGUCAGUAGUUUUGGGAAAUUCUAGAAAGUGUGCUUGGAAACGUGGGAAGAGCUCUUGCCUAGUGCCUAAAUGCUCCAUUUGCAGCUCUAGCCAAGUAGAUACUUGGUAGGUAUAGAGCCGGGUUUGCGUUUAUAUCAGCAAAACCUAUGUCAGAGUUGAAGAAGUAGUCAGGAAAAAGCGUCUUGGUCGCAGGCCGGGGAACAUCUUAAAAGCAAACUUCUAGCCUGCUGACUCUUGGCAAUGAGUGUUGGAUCCUGGCUAAAGUGCCUUGAAUGCAGCAUGAGGCCAAUCCAUGAAUCCAACUUCUCAUGGAGAAAUGUUAAUAUUUUUUCAGUUUGAAUCAAUCAGGGUGAAACUACCAUGCUAUUGGUUUGCUUACUUUUUAUUAUUUCAUGUAAAAUCUAAGACAAAAUACAUUAAAUGCUUAUUGACAUAUGUAUUUAUUCUUCACCAGGCUGAUAAUAUCUGCCUAAUUUUAAACUUUCUUCCAUUUUGUAGGUUUCAACUUAUUCUAUUGUAAGAUACUGUUAAAUCUAAUAGAGGCAUUGUCACUUUUACGUAUAAUUUUAUUUUAUUUCAUAUAUUUCCUAUUGGCUUUUUACAUUUAAAUUAUGGAGCACUUCAUCAUAUAAAAAACUUCAAUUAUAUUUAAACAGUAAGUCUUUGGAUUUUUUUGCCUUGUAAUUUCCAUAUUACAUAAUAAUGAGAUAAACAUUAAUGUUUUCAGGGUACUUUAAAUUUUAGAUAAUUACUCAUUGUAUUCAUGUGAAAUUUGUUUUUACUGCAUGUGUGGGUUGGAGGACUGUUUUCACUUCUGAUUCAUCUUUACUCUUAUCUCAUCAGAGCUCAUACCUCUUGUAGUUGGGGGAUUGCAGUUUAUAAUUCCAAUAAAUGGGGCAAAUUCAAUAAUAACAUAAUACAAAUGAGUUUGAAUGCAGGACAGGUCUUCAAAGCAUACACAACAUGGGCCUACAUAUGUACAACAAUAAUAAUUUAUAAGUUACUGUUUGGAUGGAAAGUAAAAGUACAGAAAAUUUGUUAAAGGAAAUUAAAAUGGAGAUCAUGUCUCAAUAAUCUCUGAGCAGACAAAAUUAGUUAGGUCUCAUAAGUGAUCUCAACCUCGCUUGAUUUGCAAAUACAAACAAAACUUAAAUUAUUUCUUGUAGCUGCAUAUUGAAAAAAGAGAAAUGAAGCUCAACCAGUCAGAAGUAGCCAACAACCUUAUAUAAAUAGAAACUGUCCAACAAGGUAAACAGACAAACAAAAAACAAUAAAAAAAGUUGUGCUACCACCAAAUGAUUUCUUUGUUUCUACAUUUUUCAAAUAAAUACUUGCUUCUUACACUGUCAAUGAAGCACUCAAUAUCUUUCCGUCUGAUAUUUUAUAAUUUAUCAAUUGCUCUUACUCAAAUAAACACUUUGCAAUUUCA